rnacentral:lncRNA from 1 species
UCAUUCUUAUCAUGCUAAAUCAUGCAUCAAUCUAAUGUUGUGUGAAAUUUUUGAAAAUGAUAGAGGCAUUGUUUGUGAGAAAAACCACUUGACCAAAAAGCUUAAAUCAACUAACCUUGUGAGGAGUAAUCCUUAGUUAACCCCCUUUGAGCUUAUUUUAGGAUUCAUUUGAUUGAUCAUUGUAAAAUCAAUUGAAAAUUGUGGAAUAAAUGAAUCCUAAAUUCUUUCGUAUCAGUUGAAACCUCAAACCGAGUUGUUUGCAAAAUUUUGCCUUUUGCUUAUGUCUAAGUAGGGAGCAUUAUUGA